rnacentral:tRNA from 1 species
GGGCCGUUAGCUCAAUUGGCAGAGCAACUGACUCUUAAUCAGUUGGUUGAAGGUUCGAGUCCUUCACGGCUCACCA